rnacentral:rRNA from 1 species
CCUACGGGAGGCAGCAGUAGGGAAUAUUGCUCAAUGGGGGAAACCCUGAAGCAGCAACGCCGCGUGGAGGAUGAAGGUUUUCGGAUUGUAAACUCCUUUUGUUAGAGAAGAUAAUGACGGUAUCUAACGAAUAAGCACCGGCUAACUCCGUGCCAGCAGCCGCGGUAAUACGGAGGGUGCAAGCGUUACUCGGAAUCACUGGGCGUAAAGAGCGCGUAGGCGGGAUAGCAAGUCAGAUGUGAAAUCCUAUGGCUUAACCAUAGAACUGCAUUUGAAACUGUUAUUCUAGAGUGUGGGAGAGGUAGGUGGAAUUCUUGGUGUAGGGGUAAAAUCCGUAGAGAUCAAGAGGAAUACUCAUUGCGAAGGCGACCUGCUAGAACAUAACUGACGCUGAUGCGCGAAAGCGUGGGUAUCGAACAGGAUUAGAUACCCCAGUAGUC